AGGACUUCCUACAGUUAAACACACAUGUCUGGUUAUCAAAGACUCAUGUAGGAUGGUCCCGAGCUCCAAACCAUGGAGGCAGUGGCCUCUUCUCUGUCUCUGUUGAAAAUGUUAAGCACGAAGGAAAGCAGCUGCAUCACCACAAACGCCAAGGAGAAGCACACGAAUGAAUCUGGGUUUCCAUUUUGAAGUUAUAGCUGCUGUACUGAAAGGAAAGGAACUCUUUUCUCCGUGAAAAUGCAAAGA